GACGAACGCUGGCGGCGUGCUUAACACAUGCAAGUCGAACGGAAAGGCCCCGCUUUUGUGGGGUGCUCGAGUGGCGAACGGGUGUGUAACACGUGAGUAACCUGCCCUUGACUUUGGGAUAACUUCAGGAAACUGGGGCUAAUACCGGAUAGGAGCUCCUGCUGCAUGGUGGGGGUUGGAAAGUUUCGGCGGUUGGGGAUGGACUCGCGGCUUAUCAGCUUGUUGGUGGGGUAGUGGCUUACCAAGGCCUUGACGGGUAGCCGGCCUGAGAGGGUGACCGGCCACAUUGGGACUGAGAUACGGCCCAGACUCCUACGGGAGGCAGCAGUGGGGAAUAUUGCACAAUGGGCGGAAGCCUGAUGCAGCAACGCCGCGUGCGGGAUGACGGCCUUCGGGUUGUAAACCGCUUUCGCCUGUGACGAAGCGUGAGUGACGGUAAUGGGUAAAGAAGCACCGGCUAACUACGUG
rnacentral:rRNA from 1 species